CGCCGAGCACGCGAGCGCUUCGUUCACACCGAAGAGGUCACUGGUUCGAUCCCAGUAUCGCCCACCA
rnacentral:tRNA from 1 species